rnacentral:miRNA from 1 species
ACAUUCUCUUAGAUAGUGGCCU